CACAAUAUACCCUAAUUUUAUUAAAAUUAUCAAAUUCUAAUUUUAACCCUAAAUUUUCAAAUUAAAAAUUCUAAUUUUACCUUAGCUCCUACUCGCACUCACCGUCAGUCACCGCCGCUCACCAACUCCCUUUCCCUUCCUAAACGCAGUACAUGCACAAGCAAAUACACACACACAGCAGAAGAAAGAAUAGAGAACGGAAGCCAGAGAAGAGAAGAGAGGAAGGACGCGCUGGCGCUAGUGGUCCUCGCAACCGCCGUCGCCGCCAAACCAACCGCGCGAGAGAGAGAAAGUUCGCUGAAGAGAGAUGCGUCAGAAAGAGAGAGAGCUCGCACCUUGUCAUUGCCGUCCAUGGAGCCACGAGCCGCAUCACUGUCGCCGAGGGAGGAAAGAGCACGAGCUGGAGGAGCCGUUGAAGAAGUUAUCGGCUGUGAGGCAAAGAUAAUUUUCGUUGAUAAUGGGUUUCAAUUCGGUGUAUUGGAGCUUGCUUGCAAGAUAUAUUCCCCCAGGAUUCCAAAAUGAACACUCUGGCCGGAUUCCAAAAUGAACACUCUGGCCCAUCAUUUUAAAGAAUUUUUGUUCAUACCAGAACACUUAAGGCGGUGGCUAUUGAAAAUCCAAAUGAUGCUGAUCAAGCUGCUGAAAUUGUUCUCAGUGAAUUGCACAGAGACUUAAUAUUGCCACUACCAUGGAAGAGUUGGAAAUUCAAGAAUAAAUCAAAGACUCGACAAAAAUUCAAGACUGAAAUAGAGUAUUUGCUCUUAAAAUUAGGAACCUGGCAGUUCUCAAAUAAACAAGUAAUUGGACGGGAUUUUGAUUCAAAUUCAAAUUGGAAAUGGUUUUAUUCCAGGACUUGCAGCUGCAUUUUUAUUGUUAACAAGAAGAGAAGAUAUGAGAGAGCGCGCUGCAAGUUUUGAAAGGGGGAGUAGUUGGCACCAUAUGAGGGAAAGACUUCCUCUUUCGAUGUCGCAGAGAAGAGAAGAAGAAAACAACAAUGGUGAAGAAACAAAGAACGAUGGAAGAAGGAGAAGAGGGUGGCGACGACAGGGACGGUCACAGAGAAGGAUGCCAGAUCAAUAGAGAAAAGAAGAGAAAUGAGGCGACAGUGGUGAUGGAUUCCACCGCCGCUGUUGGAUCCGUAGAACUGUGUCCAUUUACCUAUCAAUCGGCAUUAUGCAGAGUUAUCCAUUUGAGGCCUCGAUGAAAAACGCAACUAAUGCUAUGGAGUCGCACACUAUUGACUUUUUUGGAUCAAUUCCAUGAUGCAAAUUCCAUGUCACUUGAGUUUAGUGUUCUUAAGGAUCUCAUUGAGAUUUUAGAGAGCAAAAGUAGCCUCAUUGAAGAGGCAGGGAGCUUGCAAUGUCUCCAAUCAAAUUGGGUCUUAAUGCGGCGCUCGAGUGAUUAUCUGUUUAUGGAUAGUUUUUCUAGAACAAUUGAUGUAACUGUCUUUUUUGUUCUUAGUUUAGGUUAUUUUUUUGUACGAAUUUGUCGUUGGAUGUAUUUUGUGGAACUGAUCUUAUUAACUUCCUUUUAGUUUUGGUAAAUUGAACUUAUAAAAAAAAGCAUGGAAAUAAUUUAAAAACAUAUAUUUGUGUUAAGAUAUGUAAUAAGAAACGGUGUCC